GUCCACGCUGUAAACGAUGAAGACUAGAUGUUGGGCAGCUUGACUGCUUAGUAUCGAAGCAAACGCGAUAAGUCUUCCGCCUGGGAGUACGGCCGCAAGGUUAAACUCAAAGGAAUUGACGGGGCCCGCACAAGCGGUGGAGCAUGUGGUUAAUUCGAUGCAACGCGAAGAACCUUACCUACCCUUGACAUCCUAAGAAUAUUGCAGAGAUGCGAUUGUGCCGAAAGGAACUUAGAGACAGGUGCUGCAUGGCUGUCGU
rnacentral:rRNA from 1 species